rnacentral:rRNA from 1 species
CCUACGGGAGGCUGCAGUGAGGAAUAUUGGUCAAUGGCCGGAAGGCUGAACCAGCCAUGCCGCGUGAAGGUCAGUGCCCUAUGGGCGUUAAACUUCUUUUGUGCGGGAGCAAUAAUGGUCACGUGUGGCCAGACGAGAGUACCGUACGAAUAAGCAUCGGCUAACUCCGUGCCAGCAGCCGCGGUAAUACGGGGGAUGCAAGCGUUUUCCGGAUUUAUUGGGUUUAAAGGGUGCGUAGGCUGGGAGGUAAGUCAGCGGGGAAAUGCCCCCGCUCAACGGGGUGAAGUGCCAUUGAUACUGCCUUGCUGGAAUGCGGAUGCCGUGGGAGGAAUGUGUGGUGUAGCGGUGAAAUGCAUAGAUAUCACACAGAACACCGAUUGCGAAGGCAUCUCACGAAUCCGCGAUUGACGCUGAUGCACGAAAGCGUGGGUAUCAAACAGGAUUAGAUACCCCGGUAGUC